rnacentral:rRNA from 1 species
GACGAACGCUGGCGGCGCGCUUAACACAUGCAAGUCGAACGAGCGAGCGAGUGUUUGCUUUCUCGAGCGACUGACGGGCGAGUAAGACACGCGUAAGGAACCCGCCUCAACGAGGGGGAUAACAGUAAGUAAGGCUAGCUAAUACCGCAUAUGCUCACGACCUGGCGUGGGGUGGAGAGAAAAGGAGCAAUGGGGUUUGAGAGGGCCUCGUGUCCGUUUAGCUAGGUGGUGGGGUUACGGCCCCCCAAGGCGGUGACCGGUAGUAGGACUGAGAGGUGGAACAGCGACAUUGGGACUGAGACACGGCUCAGACUCCUGCGAGAGGCGGCAAAUGUGGCUAUAGCAGCAUGGGCGAGACGCUGAUGCAGCGCGGGCGGGAUGACGGAGUAGGUGUUCGGAUCGUAAACCCCUAUUGUUGAAGAAGAUAAUGACGGUACUUAACGAAGAAGUAACGGCUAACUACGUG